AACCAAUCCCAUCUUUCUCUCACAUUGAUGUUUCUCUCACUGUCUCUCCCUCCUCCCACUCUCCCUAAAAAUCAAUGGAAAAAUAUACUUGGGUGAGGAUUCAUGCACACACACACUUUCAAAUGAACAUGCUUUUCCAAAACGGAGUGUUGUUUAAAGCUAAGUAGCUGAAGUGAUGGGGGAAGGAGCAGAUGGCGCGCUGUUAUAAAGGCAGCUGAUGACAACUGUCAUCGCUAUUUAAACCGGUCCUGCAUCCGUAGACCAGUGGAAAAUAACCUCAGUACGCUCAGCCCGUUGAUCAAACGCUGCCACCCGGAGGAGGAGGUGGGUCAGAGGAGGAGGGGAUAGCCACCACAGCAUCACACCAGCCUCUCUCUGAGCCACCUUCUUCCCAGCCACACGGGUACACACAGCUCCCAGUCUGUGUGACGGACCGGCCCCUGACGGACAGAACAUCCUUCCGUGACAACAGCUGGGAGAGAGUGAACACCGGGUAGACUGAACCAUCAGAACAAUUGCAUGGCUGGCAGAGACAGACGAGAAGCAGAGGCCAGCCAGGAGUGGGAGACAGCUGCUAGGAGAAAGGCAAGCCAACAUGGCCAGGAAACCUAUAGCAUUCAACAGACAUUCCGUCCAAAAGCUGAGCUCGGCGGACGUGAUGGACAAUGCCCCGAGUAUCUAAUAGUGAAGUCAAUUCAAAACAAAACUGGUUUUUUUCUUUUAUGAACACAAAGCACUUAAAUAACACUCCAGUCUUCAGCAAAGCUGCAGAAAGAAACCAUUCAUGCAGUGUGAGUUUUAAGGCUGGCUUUCGCUUUUCAGCGGGCUCCCGGUGUGAAAACGUGUGUUUCCUCCAGCUCCUCUCUGUGCAGCAUGCAGACAACCCUGUCAGCACUUUUCCUGCCAAUGUUUUCCCGCCUCGCAGAUCACUACGUCCACUGACAUAGAUCUCAAGCAAACUUUAAACAAAGACGUGUCUUGUCUUUACCGCCCACUUAGCCUGCUGCUGUCUGUCUCUUGCAACAUUUCUGUCUGUCCUUACGUCUUUGGAAUAAACUGACUCUGUGUUUCAUCGGA